GAUGAAGAACGUAGCGAAAUGCGAUACGUAAUGUGAAUUGCAGAAUUCAGUGAAUCAUCGAAUCUUUGAACGCAUAUUGCGCUCUUUGGUAUUCCGAAGAGCAUGCUUGUUUGAGUAUCAGUAAACACCUCAACCUCUUCUUGAUUUUUCAAAAGGAGGGUGGACUUGAGCUAUCCCAACAACCUUUACCGGUCGGCGGGCGGCUUGAAAUGCAGGUGCAGCUGGACUUUUAUCUGAGCUAAAAGCAUAUCUAUUUAGUCCUCGUCAAACAGGAUUAUUACUUUUGCUGCAGCUAACAUAAAGGAUAAUUGUCCUCUUUGCUGACUGAUGCAGGAUUUUACGACACUUUAUGUGUUGUUCAACUCGAUCUCAAAUCAAGUAAGACUACCCGCUGAACUUAAGCAUAUCAAUAAAGCGGAGGA
rnacentral:misc_RNA from 1 species